rnacentral:piRNA from 1 species
UGCAUGUUUGUAUUUUCUCAA